CCUUGUGUCUCUGUUUCGGAGACAUCAAAAGGAGAAACAAAAAAAUUCUCAAAAAAUAAAAAAAAAAUAAUACUCUCCCAAUUUUUUCACAUAUAUAAGGAAAAAAACCCUAAUUGUAAUCACAAUCACAACCAGCACUAAUCUCUUUUGAUACGACUCUUUUUCUUGAACAAAUGGCUGCGAUUUCAUCAUCACCUAAGAAUGUGGUUCCGGUGGCGUUUAACGGUGGUCUCGGGGUUGGGAGAUUCGAGAAUGCGUCUCUGUAUGUGGGAGAUCUUGAUGGGAAUGUGAAUGAGGGUCAGCUUUAUGAACUGUUCAGUCAGAUUGCUCAGGUGGUUUCCAUUAGGGUUUGUAGGGAUCAGACCAAGAGAUCGUCGCUGGGAUAUGCUUAUGUCAACUUCUCCAAUGCUCAUGAUGCUGUUAAUGCAAUGGAACAUCUAAACUUCACUCCUCUGAAUGAGAAGCCAAUUCGUAUUAUGUUUUCACAUCGGGAUCCAAGCAUUCGGAAAAGUGGAUUUGCAAACGUGUUCAUUAAGAAUUUAGACACAUCAAUAGAUAACAAGGCAUUGCAUGAUACCUUUGCUGCCUUUGGACCUGUACUCUCUUGUAAGGUGGCUAUUGACGAUAUUGGCCAAUCAAGAGGAUAUGGUUUUGUUCAAUUUGACAAUGACGAGUCUGCAAAGAAUGCCAUUGAAAAAUUGGAUGGUAUGUUGAUAAACGACAAAAAGGUUUACGUAGGAUAUUUCAUUCGGCGUCAGGAAAGGUCAGGAAAUGGAUCACCUAAGUUCACUAAUGUUUAUGUGAAAAACCUUUCUGAAACAUACACGGAUGAGGACCUUAAACAGCUCUUCAACCCUUAUGGUGUAAUAACAAGUGUUGUGGUCAUGAAAGAUGAGAAUGGGAAAUCGAGAGGUUUUGGUUUUGUGAAUUUCCAAAACCCAGAAUCAGCCGCAUCUGCAGUUGAAAGUCUGAAUGGGACCGCAACAAAUGAUGGAAAGUUUUUAUUUGUGGGGAGGGCUCAGAGAAAAUCAGAAAGAGAGGCAGAGUUAAAAGCCAAAUUUGAGCAAGAAAAGAUAAAAAGGUAUGAGAAAUUACAGGGUGCUAAUUUGUACCUGAAAAACCUUGAUGACAAUCUUAAUGAAGAAAAGUUGAAGGAGCUAUUUUCUGAGUUUGGAACAAUAACAUCUUGCAAGGUAAUGUAUGAUGUUCAUGGUCAUAGCAAGGGCUCUGGUUUUAUUGCCUUUUCGACACCUGAGGAAGCUAGUAAAGCUAUAAAUGAAAUGAAUGGAAAGAUAAUAGGACAUAAGCCCCUAUAUGUUGCUGUGGCCCAGCGCAAAGAAGAAAGGAAAGCUCGUUUGCAGGCUCAAUUUUCUCAAAUUCAAGCACCGGGUGGAAUCACAACUUUGCCUGGAAGAAUUGCUGGAUAUCAUCCAAGUGCACAAAGAAUUGCUCCACAACAAAUGUAUUUUGGUCAAGGUGCACCUGGUCUCAUUCCGCCUCAGCCAAAUGGAUACGGUUUCCAGCAACAGCUCAUGCCAACUAUGCGAUCUGGCGUUGCUCCUAAUUUCAUCAUGCCAUACCACCUUCAGAGGCAAGGUCAUCCUGGACCUAGAAUGGUGCGUCGAGUUGGUAAUUUCCAACCAGUGCAACAAAACCAGUUGCCCAACCGUAAUUCCAACCAAGGGUUUAGAUAUAAUGUUCGGAAUGGCGUGGAUCCAGUAGAUCCUGAAGGUCUCACAGGUCAAAUGAUGGAUACAUCUGCAGUUGCUGUUGCAUCUCCGGUUAACAAUCAACGUCAUAGUGGAUUAUCUAAUAAUUCACUCACAUCGGCUUUGGCUUCUGCCACCCCUGAAAAUCAACGCUUGAUGUUGGGUGAGCAUUUAUAUCCACUGGUGGGUCGUCUUACCUCAAACCAUCAGACAGCGAAGGUUACUGGAAUGUUAUUAGAAAUGGAUCAGUCAGAGGUUAUACAUUUGAUUGACUCUCCUGAAGAACUGAAGAUAAAGGUGUCUGAGGCAAUGCAAGUCCUCCGGGAAGCUUCAUCUGGUUCUGAAGUUGAUGGUUCGUUGAAGGAAUGAAAUAAUCAUAUGUCUGCCAUUCCAAUCAAAGACAUGUCAUUUCAAUAAGUAUCUUCAGGCAUUCCAGUAAAGAAUGAUUCGAGUCAACAUUGAUUACAAAGUUGCACUUUUGAUUGGGGCAGUCCUGUAACGCACAAAACAGAGUCUCGCAACACCAGCCUGAUGUUACUUAUCCAUUGGCAACAGCUCUCAAGAUGGCUACAAUGCAGCCAUGAUUUUGUAUACGUUGGAAUGUGCUUAUGCAAUGAGGAUUAUGUUAAAUCCAAAACCAUCCCGCCUUAAACCAAGCUACAAGUGUAUGUGGCGAAGGGUGUGUAUCAUGGGCUCAAGUGAAUCCGAGGUAGAUGGGUUUAAUAGUCUCAUGCACGACAUGUUUGGAUUUGGCAAUAUCAUCAAAGUUGUAUUAACUUUAGAUUUUGUCUUUUGUCCAUACAAAUAAAGUUCUUUAGAAGACUAAUUUGGCAAAAGGCGUGUACCAUAGGUUCAAAUAAAUUCGAGGUAGAUAGG